AUUACUAUAAAAGAUACCGUUGAAGAUCGGAUACUGUCUCUACAGGAGGAUAAGAGAGAAAUGGUUGCAUCUGCUUUUGGGGAAGACCAUGCUGGUAGGUCUGGAACUCGCCUUACAGUGGAUGAUCUGAAAUAUCUCUUCAUGGUCUAGACUCAAGACCUCUCCUUGCUUCUUCUUCUCAUAUGAUGGAUGGAUAAUUUGAAGUUUUGUUUUGUUUUGGGAGAUUUGGCAUGGAGUUGGAAUGGUUGUUCUGAAGGAGGGGUAUGACUUUUUUUGGUAGGAGAGUCUUGGUUGAUCCAAGUUGUAAUAUGAUCUGUUUUGAGCCCACAAGGGCAAUUUUGUCCUCCAUGCUUUUAUAUAGCUGAAGGCUGUAUGUAAAUAUUCUUAUCAAAUUAUAAUAUGGUUUAUGAAAAUAUGACCUUGUGCAGAGCUCUUCCUUUUGUUGCAGUGUACAGUUUUCUUGCUAGCUACUGUGGGUCUAGCUGUACCCUCCAUGCUGGGCCCCCCUCUCCGGUGUAGAUUGACCAACUCGAUGUGGGCUCUUAUUUUAGAACAAAUUCAAAAGUUUAAGUGCGUAUCCUUACUGUUUGCAAUUUUGAAU